CAGAGUGAGACUCUGUCUCACUCUGUUGCACAGUUUACAACAACAAAACUAUAGCAUCCAUCACAUAGAGGAGAGACUCCCCAACACACAUAUAAGGAUUACUCUCAGCCCCAGCUCCCUCAAACUUCCUAAGAUCAGCACUGGUAUCUGAUGGUGGCUCCUUGUAAAUCAAACUUAAUGGAGUAUGUGUUAUUUGGUUUAUGUUUAUGUGCAGCCUGCAUAACAACCACUCUGUCAACAUCAUGCAUAUGUUCAUUGUGUUGGUACUAGAAGACUCUAUGACACACACAAGCUGAUGUCAUCUGAUGGGUCUAUUUUAUCUACUUGGCUGUGCAAAUCCUCUUCUGUAGUAUAUGCUUUCUGGUGGACACUAAUAUGGAACACAAAGAUCUUCUCACAUUGCAGCUGCUCCCAUAUAUCCAUUGAUAUAUGCCUCUAACUCCAGACCUUUUUGUCCUUAAUCUUCUAAUCCGGUUAUCUCUUUUCCUUUAGUGCAAUUUUUCCUUAUUUGUUUGUUUUGUUUUUUUUUUUAAGUAAAUAGCUAGGCUUCUAAGCCCUACCACAGAGAGUCAACAGACAAACUGCCCAGGGAAAAGUUAUGACCUCAGGCAAAGUGAAUUUCUACAGCUAAGGCAGAUCCUGAAGAAGCUCACAAAUAAAGGCUGCAUACUCACACAUUCCCUGAAGCUUGACAGUGCCAGCCACCAUACUGUGAGGGAGCUGAAGUAAGCCCACAUGAGGAAGAAUUGAGGUCCCAAGCCAACAGCUGCAGCUAAGAUCCAAGCUCUCAACCAGUACCAGUUCAUCCGUUAUGCACACUAAGAUAUGGAAGCUAAAAGAGGACUAAGAGGAUUCUGGGGAUAUUACAAGAUAUUGCAGACUAUCUUGUUUUCCUGGAAAAGGAUUUUACCUCAGUCGACUGAAUUACUUUUUUCACUGUGUCUUGCCACUCUUCGUGCAUGCAUCAAAGACCCUAAUAUGACUUCUGGUGGCCUGGGACUCCUUGGGAAAACAGAAAAGGGGCCACAAAUCCCAUUUUGGGAACAAUCUGUUUUACUCAUGGAACCCCUGGAAUUAGAGAUACAACUGGAGAAACUGUUCUGUGGAGGCUUUGAGUGGAAGGGUGUGCUUCCCUUUAAGGAAUCAAGCUUGAUUUGCAAAGCCAAUAAAACCCCCUUAAGAAAACUGGCCUCCUACCUGUCUACACAGUCUCUGUACAAGAUUACUGACCUGUGGUGAGCAAAAAAAUGUCACUUUCUAACAGACCUAGGAACUCCAUGCUUCUAAAAUCUCAGGAAGAAAAAAGUUUAUCCAACUCACAGUUAUUUGUAGAUACAAACCCAUGGCUGGGCUUGGUUUUAAAAAGUCCGAUCUGAAAUUCCUUGUGGAACAGAGAGUUCCAUCAAAGCCAAUCAAAAAGGCCUAUAUAGAGGUGAUUAUUCUUGCUUCAUUUUAUGCAAAUAAUCAGGCCAAGUAUACAACUAAAGUUUACUUUGCAAACAGCUAAGUCCUAUCAUAAGUUGUUUUUUAACAAAAUGAGGACUAGAGAGACAGAAAUUAUGUUUCAAAAUUUAUCAUACAUCUGUCAUUGGAUUCAAGUCUCAUUAGUCAUUUUUAAAUUCUUGUCUACAUUUUAAACUAACCAUGCUAAUUCUUGUAAUCCAACCACAUCUCCAGCUGUGGCUCAAACAAAACAGAAAGUGAUAGGUAAUGUAAAAAUCUCGAACAAUGUUCUGGCUGGGCAAUUAUCCUAUAAAUCUUGCUAGGUAGCCUAUAACCCCAAGGUUUUCUUUUUUUGGGAAAGUAAGAUCAAGAAAGUUUAAAAAAGCCUAGCCCCAUACACUCACUUAAAACAGCACAACCCAUCUAAAUGGCUUACAGGUAUCAAAUAAACUCUGUUGUCAUGGUUAUGGCCUAUAGUGCCCCCACUAAUAAUGGUAGUCUUAAUACUCAUAUUUUAACCCUAUAUUCUAAACC
rnacentral:lncRNA from 1 species